ACAUUUGGAAACGAAUGCUAAUACCUGAUAUUAUGAUUUUAGGGCAUCCUAGGAUUAUGAAAGCUAUAUGCGCUGUGAGAGAGCUUUGCGUCCCAUUAGCUAGUUGGAGAGGUAACGGCUCACCAAGGCGAUGAUGGGUAGCCGGCCUGAGAGGGUGAUCGGCCACAAGGGGACUGAGACACGGCCCUUACUCCUACGGGAGGCAGCAGUGGGGAAUAUUGGACAAUGGACCAAGAGUCUGAUCCAGCAAUUCUGUGUGCACGAUGAAGUUUUUCGGAAUGUAAAGUGCUUUCAGUUGGGAAGAAAAAAAUGACGGUACCAACAGAAGAAGUGACGGCUAAAUACGUGCCAGCAGCCGCGGUAAUACGUAUGUCACAAGCGUUAUCCGGAUUUAUUGGGCGUAAAGCGCGUCUAGGUGGUUAUGUAAGUCUGAUGUGAAAAUGCAGGGCUCAACUCUGUAUUGCGUUGGAAACUGUGUAACUAGAGUACUGGAGAGGUAAGCGGAACUACAAGUGUAGAGGUGAAAUUCGUAGAUAUUUGUAGGAAUGCCGAUGGGGAAGCCAGCUUACUGGACAGAUACUGACGCURAAGCGCGAAAGCGUGGGUAGCAAACAGGAUU
rnacentral:rRNA from 1 species